AGCAUAUGUUGGGAAGAAACGAAGGGAUCAAAAGCAAGAUACUACUGCUCAGGGUGAGGACUCGUGGAAGAUGGGAAAAUUGAACGCCUACAAAGGAAAACCCCUACCUGACUGUUUGCCAACAACAACUAUAAACAGCCUUUGAAGUUGAAAAGUACGAGUUCUUUCGACAAGCGGGACGUCGAGCCAUCCAUCUCACAGUAGCAUGAACUGAUAUCGAAACUUUGUUUUAGUGAUGAUAAUUAUUCCACUAAUCGCAAUUAUAUUGGUUUCUCGUCACCUCGAAACAUCAAGAAAACAGCUGAAAUGGAAGUACAGACCGAUAUAAGAAUGGAAGAAAUGACAAAGCUCCUGGAUUUGAAGUCGAAAUCCUAGAACCCUGAUGUUGUUUGUCCAGAGAGUCACGUGUACACCCAGUGACGGGAGCGUGAAACAGCAUACUGGAGUGUCAUUGAAUAUUUGCACUUUCCAUUAUCGCAACAAUAGAUUCUAGAUCGAUUAGAGAAUAUUCAUGAAAAUGUGGGAGCAUUUUUUAUAAAGUGUAUUAUAAUUUAAUGAUAGAAUGUUGUCAUUUAUGUUCUAAUGAACCGUUAUGCACUGGAAAAUUGAACGUGUUUUAAGUUUCAAAUGCAAACUAGUGCUACUGUAAUUUCAAAUAAAGUUUAUUAUCUAUCUUCUAA